rnacentral:rRNA from 1 species
AUUGAACGCUGGCGGCAGGCCUAACACAUGCAAGUCGAACGAGUGGCGGACGGGUGAGUAAUGUCUGGGAAACUGCCCGAUGGGGGGGGAUAACUACUGGGAACGGUGGCUAAUACCGCCUACCAUCGGAUGUGCCCAGAUGGCAUUAGCUAGUUGGGGGGGUAACGGCUUACCAAGGCUACGAUCGCUAGCUGGUCUGAGAGGAUAACCAGCCACAUUGGAACUGAGACACGGUCCAGACUCCUACGGGAGGCAGCAGUGGGGAAUAUUGCACAAUGGGCGCAAGCCUGACGGAGCAAUGCCGCGUGUAUGAAGAAGGCUUUCGGGUUGUAAAGUACUGUCAGCGGGGAGGCGGUACCCGCAGAAGAAGCCCCGGCUAACUCCGUGCCAGCAGCCGCGGUAAUUC